rnacentral:lncRNA from 1 species
GCAAAUGAUAGAUCUUUCUGUUUGUAAUUUCUUCUACUGCUUUGAGGCCUAGGGAAACCUUACCCAGGGAGUAAAAAACUUUUAUUUCUUCAGUUUUCAACAUUUUGUUUCUUAUCCUAAUUAGAAUUCAUUUCCAUCUUGAUAGGUGGUACAAGAUGUGAAGGGGUGGUAUUGGAGGAAAUUAACAGUAGCUGCUCCAACCCUCAGGCCCCCAAAUCUCAAUGCCUUAACACAACAAAGCAUUAACUCUCAGGCAUAUCAAGCCCAGCAAAGGUCUGGUGACACACCUAGAUAAUGACUUAGGGGCACAAGCAGCUGGACCAUCUUAAACUCUUUUACUUCCAGUUGGGGAACUUUUGAUUUUGGUGGAUAGAAGGUAGAAACCUCUGGCAAGGGUACCUAUGGCUGCAUCAGCAUGCUGGAGAAGCAGAAAGAGAAAUGGCAGAAAGGAGAAGAGACAAGAUAAACCAGUUAUUUUGGGACCGUGUCAUCUUUUCUAAUAUACAAUACAGAGGAACUGCUUAAAAAAAUCUUAACGAGCCUUGAGCUGACCUUGGAUGAGGGGAAAGCUGAGGUAGUGGGCCAUGGCCAAAAUGAGCUGGCCUGCCUUACGACUGAAGGCCAAAUCAGAAGCAAAAAGUUUUGAUCUGUGUUAAAAGAAAGAAAUGAUCUCUUAUCUGUGUUCCGAGGCAACCUCACCUUCCUGACAGCCGAACAUUAGAGUACUAGGCCUUUUGAUACAGAAAGACAUUGACUAUUUGGCCCAUGGCAAUCAUAAAACUAGAGGAUCACGCUUUUCGGCCUAAAGAUUCUUGAAUUCCACAGGGGGUGAUUCUCAUUGGUUUGGAUUAGAAAGGAUAAAAAGCCUUUACUGGUGGAGCAGAUUGCAGGAGAAAUGCUUGGGAGAUGCAUUGACCUAAGUCACUCACAUAGUUAGGGAGA